GCGAGGAAAGAAACUAACAAGGAUUCCCCUAGUAACUGCGAGUGAACCGGGAAAAGCUCAAAUUUUGAAUCUGGCGGUCCAAGGGCCGUCCGAGUUGUAAUCUAGAGAAGCGUCUUCCGCGCUGGACCGUGUAUAAGUUUCCUGGAAUGGAACGUCGUAGAGGGUGACAAUCCCGUCUUUGACACGGACUCCCAGUGCUAUGUGAUGCGCUCUCGACGAGUCGAGUUGUUUGGGAAUGCAGCUCAAAUAGGGUGGUAAAUUCCAUCUAAAGCUAAAUACAGGCGAGAGACCGAUAGCGAACAAGUACCGUGAGGGAAAGAUGAAAAGAACUUUGGAAAGAGAGUUAAACAGUACGUGAAAUUGCUGAAAGGGAAACGCUUGAUGUCAGUCGCAUCGUCCGGGGAUCAGCCUCGCUCUUUUGCUCGGCGUACUUCCUGGUCGAUGGGUCAGCAUCGGUUUCGACCGUCGGAAAAUGGCUCGAGGAACGUGGCACUCUUCGGGGUGUGUUAUAGCCUCGAGUCGAAUACGACGGUCGGGACCGAGGAACUCAGCACGACCUUCGGGUUCGGGGCUUCGGCUCACGUUCGCGUGCUUAGGAUGCUGGCAUAAUGGGCCUUAAGCGACCCGUC
rnacentral:rRNA from 1 species